rnacentral:rRNA from 1 species
GACGAACGCUGGCGGCGUGCUUAACACAUGCAAGUCGAACGCUGAAGCUCAGCUUGCUGGGUGGAUGAGUGGCGAACGGGUGAGUAACACGUGAGUAACCUGCCCUCUUCUUUGGGAUAACGCCCGGAAACGGGUGCUAAUACUGGAUAUUCACUGAUUCUCGCAUGGGGGUUGGUGGAAAGGUUUUUUCUGGUGGGGGAUGGGCUCGCGGCCUAUCAGCUUGUUGGUGGGGUGAUGGCCUACCAAGGCUUUGACGGGUAGCCGGCCUGAGAGGGUGACCGGUCACAUUGGGACUGAGAUACGGCCCAGACUCCUACGGGAGGCAGCAGUGGGGAAUAUUGCACGAUGGGCGAAAGCCUGAUGCAGCGACGCCGCGUGAGGGAUGGAGGCCUUCGGGUUGUAAACCUCUUUCGCUCAUGGUCAAGCCGCAGCUUUGGGUUGUGGUGAGGGUAGUGGGUAAAGAAGCGCCGGCUAACUACGUG